rnacentral:lncRNA from 1 species
GAGCUUCUUGUGAGGUUAGUAAGCCUAAUCUUUUCUUUGGAUUAAGUUUCGGUAGCUUCUACUAGAUCAAACCCUAGAUUUGGCAUAUUAGGGCUAAAAAUGGGGAUUUUUGAUUUGAGGGCUUUGGAACCAAAUUGAUGGGUUUAGAACCUUUGUUUAGGUUAGAUUGGAAGGACUCUAGCUCCCAUUUGGAGAUCGAGAGAGCUUCCUUCGUAAUCGGUGAGUUUUCUUCAACCCUAGCCCUAAAUGAUUAAUGAUUGAGCUUAGCGUCAUUCGUUUCGAUUGGGUGACACUUAUUUUCAUACCUCUAGGAUACUAGGAGGCUAGAGGACACCAUCGUCGGAGCAAACGAAGGGUUUCGUUUACCGUUGGUGGGUUUGACUUUAUGAAAAUGGGGCGAAAUGGCCCCUAUGCUUUCUAAACUUUUCGUAAAUUAUUUUUGAAUGCAAAUUCAUGCUAAACAUGAAUUAUGUGAAUUUUAGAACACUUAAAAUGCAUGCAUUAUUUAUCAUAAAAUUUACACUCUAUAUAGUAGAGCUAUAUGUGUAGAUUGCAUUCAUUGUGGAUGGUGUUUGGUUUCGCAAGUGAGAACAUGUCUCCAUGCUAGAAUUGAGUGAAAUUGUGCAUCAUGAACAUAUUAAUACCAUGCUUGGACUCGUUGAACAAAAGUGUCAUAAAGGGCACUUGGAAUUAGUAAACUGUGAAACUGCAAUAUAGAGACAAAUUGAUAGGCCAUUAUACAUCUUCUAUAUUCCAUGUUAGAGACAUGAUGAUAUAGAAAUAGGCCAUUGAGACACUUGAUAUAUUCCAUAUUUUUAGACAUGAGGACUUGGUACUUGAGACAGAUCAUUGCUUGCUUGCCAUUGUGCUCAUUCGCACAUACUUGUGAGGGUCGCUCCCUACAAGCCGGCACUCCGGAGAUAGCCAUCGCGACAUCUGCUCGCCCGUGCGGGAUUGGGCGCCGAAGUGGAUUGCCGUGGGGGAGGCUCAUCCCUAGAGUGGGGAUGUUGACUACCACGGGGCCAUUAGGCACGGCGCAGGCCAGACAGCCUUCGAGUGGGUCUUGUGAUUGGGACUUAGUGACAGAACAUGCUAUGUGAACUUUAAAACUAUUAAAGUGGACUUGAACUAGAAUAGUAAACAAUGACAUCUUUACUAUUUUUGCAUUGAGGACAUCGGAUUGGUUGCAUUUCUAUGCUUAUCCAUGUCAUACACAUUCAUGCACAUUCAUGUUAUCGUUGCUUUAUUACUUAUGCAAAUCAAGCUAAGUAGAGACUUUAUGUUAUAGUAAGUUACAUUUUUAUUUACCUUUCGUCUUACUACAUUGUUAGUCACUGACCUCUUUUUGUAGCUUUGGGCCUUGUGGUGCAUUCACUGAAGUCAGUAAUUGCCCACUGGGAACUAUUUUUAAUAGUUCUCACGCCCCUGUUUUAUGGUUUACUUUUCAGAGCCUUCGGCACCGGCGGAGGCACGGGAUCGCGGCAAGGGGAUCGCUUAGCUAGCUAGCGAGGAGCGGUUCUUUGCCUAGGUGGUUUGCUCUUUCUUUUUGUAGUUGGGAGAGUGAGAGAUUUUGUAUCCAUGUGUAGAGACCACCUAUGUACCUACUUUUAGCACUUGUAUUUGGGAUUUCCUAUUGUAUUUACUUUAUGUCUUAUUUAGUGAAUUUACAGUUUUAUCCUUAUUUCUUGUUGUAGCAUUUAGACAUUUAUUACGCUCUGAUACACCUAGAUGUCUUUUAUUAUGGCUUUAUUAUUGUUGUUUUUAGACGCCUUAUAUGUUGUAGACAUAUGGCGGGUCUGGGCACGCGCCGGGCGGGCUUCCGCUGGGUCCCGGGGCGUGACAGAUUAAUUUGGUAUCAGAGCCUAGGGUUGAGUCUUAGGGGACCUAGCAAAUCUUAGGCCGGUUGGACUAUAGGAAAUAGGCUCGUGAGAGACGAGGUCUAUUUGAUUUGUAAGCGAAAGUAUCUUGAUUGGGUAUCUUUGAUAACUCUUGAAUAUGGAGUUAAAUUGAAGUGUAUAGCUCCUAACUCCGCGGAGGGGUACGUUGGCGGCCGACAACAUAACAUCGGGAGUUAGUGGUGAGGAACACUUCCUUACUUUCACAUGAUUUGGGUAUUGUCUUUUGAGCGAGGAUGCGUUCGCGUGGGUUUUACUAACUUACGCUUUUAUGAUAUUGUAGUGACGAUGCCGAUUACUCGCUCCCAAUCUGCCGGGGCGGACAAUGCGGCAAACCUUGAGGAGGUCGAGACCUCCGCUACCUCCGGAUCCAGCGAGGUCCGCGAGUUGAGGGGCCAGUUUGCGGCCCUCACUGAUUUAGUCACUCAGCAGGCGGAGGCGGCCCAACAGCAGACCGAGGCGGCGCGCCGACAGGAGGCGCGGAUGAAGCGUUUGGAGGACCUACUACUGCAGCAGACAGCGGCUUCUAGGGAGACUCAGGCCCCUACACCGCCAGCACUAGUUGUGGACGUUGCACCGAGAACGCCGUCCCCCGCGCCCAGUUCUUCGCGUGCGCGCCUGUGGCCGCACCCCAGGAGGAGGUCUUGGCAGCACCACCUGUGCAGAGGCCCCCAGUUGGAGCAGCUUUCCCUACUUUGGUUGAGGGGGCGGAGUGAGAUAGACUGAUGGAGCGCCUCAAUAAGUUCAGGAGGUGCAGCCCCCGAGUCUUCGACGGCGAGAAGGUCGACCACUGGAUCGUGGAGAAGUGGUUGAUGCAUAUGGAGAAGCUCUUCCGCGACACCUUCGUGGAGGAGAGGGAUCGAGUUUGGCUCGCCAUCACCACUUGAUCGAGCCUAACCGCUAGUGGUUGGAUCUCCAGGAGAACCCCAGCACGGACUUGGCAGCUAUCACUUGGACGAGGUUCAAGGAGCUUCUUUUGGCGCACUACUUUCCGACCAGCGUCAAGAGGAAGAUGGAGCAGAAUUUGCGCAGUUUGCUCCAGGGUGACAGGACCGUAGCCGAGUACGAGAGGGAGUUUUCUCGGCUUCUGCAUUGCGUGCCCUUCGUCGUGCGUGACGACGAGGACAAGGCCCGCAUCUUCGAGCGAGGAUUGAGACCGUCUAUCUUCCGGUUUGUGCAAUCAUCUAACCUCCAAACCUACCGGGAGGUGGUGGAUCGCGCGCUCAUUAUGGAGAGCGGCACGGCGGAUUUCUAGGAGCAACGAGAGACUAGGGACAAAGGGAAGGCCAAGAGGCCUGCGGCUGAGGGUGCGAGCCAGACGCACUCUAGGAGGCCGCCGAAACAUUCGAGGAGCCAGCAGCGUGGGCGCAGCUCAGCAGCCCAGCGAGGAGGUUAUGACCGACGUCGGCCCUCCCCGUGUGUGAUCUGUGGUGGUCCUCAUCACCCACCGCAGUGUCCACAACGGGCGGGCAGGUGCUUCCAGUGUGGCCAGGAGGGCCACAUGCGGACUGAGUGCCCGAGAGGUUCUUCACCGGCACCAUCGACUGCAUCGGCACCGGCUUUACCAGCCGCCAGCCAGGGGACUCCGUCAGCGCAGUAUCAGCUUGGGCAGCCACCCGUCCAGCGCCAGAGCGAGGGAUCUCGACAGGCCCCGAGUGGGCGCAUAUACGCCGCUCAGACUGCGGAGGCGGCUGCAGUCGAGGAUGUGGUUGCAGGUAUUAUUUUACUUGAUGGCAUUAGAGUUCGUGCUUUAUUUGAUACCGGUGCAUCGUAUUCAUUUAUCGAUAGGCUGUUUGCCGAGUUGCAUGGCAUUCAAUUGGUUCCUUUGUUGCAUACGAGACAUGUUGUUGUCCUCGACCACGUUUUGGAUAUUAGAGAGUAUAACCCCAGUUGCCCUGUUCGGGUAGGAGAAUGGAUCAUGCCCGUGGAUUUGCUAGCCUUGCGCAAGCUGGGGGACUUUGACGUGGUCUUGGGCAUGGAUUGGUUGACCAAGUACUAUACCACGAUUGAUUGUAAGAAUCGCACGGUUACUUUUAGAGAACCGGGGCAAACCGAGGUGGUAUUUUGUGGAUGCCGGAGUUCGCUGUUUGCGACGACGAUCAGCUCGUCUCGAGCUAGGCAGCUGAUCAGCAGAGGUUGCGUAGCCUAUUUGGCUAGUGUUGUGUUGAGGGGCGAGGAUGAUACCCUUAGGAUUGAGGAUAUUCCGGUGGUGCGAGAGUUUCAGGAUGUGUUUCCAGCUGAGCUACCGGGUAUGCCUCCUGAUAGGGAGAUUGAGUUUGUGGUAGAUCUCGUCCCUGGGACUACCCCAAUCUCAAUGGCACCCUAUAGGAUAGCACCGGCGGAGCUGAAGGAGCUGAGAGCAUAGCUACAGGAUUUGCUGGACAAGGGCUUUAUUCGCCCGAGCGUCUCGUCUUGGGGAGCACCAGUUUUGUUCGUCAAGAAGAAGGACGAAUCGCUUCGCCUUUGUGUGGAUUAUCGUGAACUCAAUAAAGUCACGAUUAAGAACAAAUAUCCGUUGCCGAGGAUCGACGACUUGUUUAAUCAGCUUCAGGGAUCGUGUGUGUAUUCCAAGAUAGACUUACAGUCUGGAUACCACCAAUUGAAGAUUAAACUCGAGGAUGUAUCGAAGACGGCUUUUAGAACACGGUAUGGACAUUACGAGUUCACAGUUAUGCCGUUCGGGCUUACUAAUGCCCCGGCAGCUUUUAUGGAUCUAAUGAACCGUGUUUUCAAGCCUUAUCUAGACAGGUUCGUUGUGGUGUUCAUCGACGACAUUUUGGUCUACUCUCGAAGUGAUGCAGAUCACGAGGAGCAUUUGAGAAUUGUACUCCAAGUACUUCGGGAAAAGGAGCUUUAUGCCAAGUUGAAGAAAUGUGAAUUUUGGCUUCGAGAGGUAGCCUUCCUUGGACACUUGAUUUCAGGAUCAGGUAUAGCAGUGGAUCCCAAGAAGAUCGAAGCAAUCAAGGAUUGGCCGAGACCGACGAGCGUCACGGAGAUACGGAGCUUCCUUGGAUUGGCCGGUUACUACCGGAGAUUUGUAGAGGGGUUUGCUAAACUGUCUACUCCCCUCACGAGGCUCACACAUAAAGGAGUCAAGUUCAUUUGGAAUGAUGCGUGCGAGCGAAGCUUCCAAGAGUUGAAGUAGAGAUUGACGACCGCCCCGAUCUUGACCCUACCAGUAGCUGGAGCAGGGUAUGUGGUUUAUAGUGAUACUUCACUUAUUGGAUUGGGCUGUGUAUUGAUGCAGGAUGGCAAGGUGAUAGCGUAUGCUUCUCUCCAACUAAAAGAAUAUAAAAAGAACUACCCGACGCAUGAUUUGGAGUUGGCAGCCGUGGUGUUCGUGUUGAAGCUAUGGCGCCACUAUUUUUAUGGCGAGCGGUGUGAGGUGUACACGGAUCACAAGAGCUUAAAGUACCUGUUUACUCAGAGGAAGUUGAACUUGAGGCAGCGCAGAUGGUUGGAGCUACUCAAGGAUUAUGAUCUGACGAUCCUUUACCACCCGGGCAAGGCUAACGUGGUGGCGGAUGCGCUAAGUAGGAAAUCGAUGAAAAACUUAGCGUUGCAUGUUGUGACUCAACCGCAGUUGAUUGAGCAGAUAAAGCGGUUGGAGUUGGAGAUAGUGACUCCUGACAAACCCUUGAGAUUGAUGACCUUGGUGGUGCAACCUACUCUUUUGGAUAGAAUCAAAGAGAAGCAAGUUUCCGAUUUGGACUUGCAAAGGAUUCGAGGUAAAAUGGUUGAUGGAUGCACCGGCGACUUCCUUUUGGAUGAUCUGGGAUUGAUGCGUUUUCGUGGGCGGAUUUGUGUACUCGCGGAUUCGGGGAUUAAAGAAGACAUUCUUCAAGAAGCGCACCGGGCGCCCUAUGCUAUACAUCCUGGUGGCAUCAAGAUGUAUAAGGACUUAAAGUUGCUCUAUUGGUGGCCCGGGAUGAAAAAGGAUGUUGGCGAGUUCGUUGUUAGAUAUUUAACUUGCCAACAAGUGAAAGCGGAGCACCGAGUUCUCGCAGGGAAGCUUCAGAGUUUACCUAUUCCUGUGUGAAAGUGGGAGAAUAUCACCAUGGACUUCGUGACAGGAUUGUCUCGCUCACAGGCUGGGCAUGAUGCUAUUUGGGUGAUCGUGGAUAGGUUAACGAAGUCGGCGCACUUCGUGCCUGUUCAUACGACUUGGACCGGAGAGAAGCUCGCACAAGUGUACCUUGAUGAGAUUGUGCGACUUCAUGAAGUGCCUACAUCGAUUGUAUCUGAUCGCGACACGCGUUUUGUGUCUCACUUUUGGAGAACUCUGCAGGACGCCUUAGGCACCCGAUUGGAUUUCAGUACAGCAUGCCACCUGCAGAGUGAUGGACAGUCGGAGCGCACUAUACAGGCCUUAGAGGAUAUGCUCCGGGCAUGUGUGAUAGACUUCUAGGGAGGAUGGUCGCAGCAUCUACCUAUGGCGGAGUUUGCUUAUAACAACAGUUAUCAAGCAAGCAUCAAGAUGGCGCCCUUCGAAGCACUUUAUGGACGGAAGUGUAGAUCGCCGCUUCAUUGGAGUGAAGUUGGCGAGAGACUGGCUUUAGGCCCUGAUGUGCUCCAGGAAGCUGAGGACAAUGUUCGCAUUGCUCGUGAGCGACUUGUGACGGCGCAGAGUAGACAAAGGAGCUACGCCGACCGACGACGGCGAGACUUGGAGUUCCAUGUAGAAGACCAUGUUUUCUUGAAGGUCUUGCCGACUAGAGGAAUCAAGAGAUUCGGGAUUCGGGAAAAGUUGAGCCCCCGUUUUAUUGGACCGUAUGAGGUUUUGGAGCGUGUAGGUCCGGUAGCGUAUCGACUUGCUCUACCGCCGAACCUAUCGGGCGUACACAACGUCUUUCAUGUAUCGGUCCUUCGAAGGUAUAUUCAUGAUCCAGCUCACGUUUUGGAGACUAUACCAGUGGAACUGCGUGAGGAUUUGAGCUUUGAGGAGCAACCAGUGAAGAUUUUGGCUCGCGAGGUGAAGAAGCUGCAGAAGCGGGAUAUUCCAUAUGUGAAGGUACUUUGGAGCAACCACGGGGAGCGAGAGGCCACGUGGGAGCUGGAGAGCGCUUUGCAGGAGCGCUAUCCCCAUCUUUUUCAGAUGGAGCCUUAAGGUAUGCUUUUUCUUUUGAGUUUCGCGGACGAAACUCCUUUUUAGGAGGGGUGAAUGUGACGCACUGGACCUCGCAAAUUGUGGGGUUCGAGUGAUUGAUUGUGUUCUGAACUUUUCCAGACUUUCUGGUGGGUCGUUGACAGUGUUCGGACCUAUGGUUCGAGUCCCGAGAAUUGUGGUUUAAAGCUGUGUACCAAAAUCCAAAAAGUUAGAUUUUUGGUCAGCUCUCGGGAAGCCUGCAGCAGGCUGUGUACCGAUACGGGCUUGGUGGCUGUACCGGUACAGGGUUGAUGGCUGUACCGGUACGGGACCGCGUACCGGUACACAGACGAUUUUGAGGCAAACCCGAGGCUCGGGUUUGGCCAUUUCGUGGGUUGUGUACCGGUACACAAACCCGUAUACCGGUACGCAGUGCAGAUUUUGGCCGUUUCGUGGACGGGUGUUUUUACAAUUGUUGUAACCUCUAUUUAAGCACACCCCAGCCCCUUGGGGGCUGUUUUGAGCCCUAGAACAGUGGAGAGCAAGGUAAGAGGAGUUCCUUUGAUUUCUUCGCCAUUUUUGUUGGAUUUUGGCUGGUUUUGAUCCCUCCUCUCUUCUCCACCUUGCUUUUUGUUGGGUUACCACCAUUGUUGAAGGCUUGGAACUUAGAGAGGAGCUUGUUUGAGAGGAGAUCUUCAACUCCACUUGGCUUGGGACUUGGUUUUCAGUUUCUUGUGAGGUUAGUAAGCCUAAUCUUUCCUUUGGAUUAAGUUUGGUAGCUUCUACUAGAUCAAACCUCAGAUUUGACAUAUUAGGGCUAAAAAUAGAGAUUUUUUAUUUGAGGGCUUUGGAACCAAAUUGAUGGGUUUAGAACCUUUGUUUAGGUUAGAUUGGAAGGACUCUAGUUCCCAUUUGGAGAUCGAGAGAGCUUCCUUCGCAAUCGGUGAGUUUUCUUCAACCCUAGCCCUAAAUGGUUAAUGAUUGAGCUUAGCGUCAUUCGUUUCGAUUGGGUGACACUUGUUUUCAUACCUCUAGGAUACUAGGAGGCUAGAGGACACCCUCGUCGGAGCAAAUGAAGGGUUUCGUUUACCGUUGGUGGGUUUGACUUCAUGAAAAUGGGGCGAAAUGGCCCCUAUGCUUUCUAAACUUUUCGUAAAGUAUUUUUGAAUGCAAAUUCAUGCUAAACAUGAUUUAUGUGAAUUUUAGAACACUUAAAAUGCAUACAUUAUGUAUCAUAAAAUUUACACUCUAUAUAGUGGAGCUAUAUGUGUAGAUUGCAUGCAUUGUAGAUUGUGUUUCGUUUCGCAAGUGAGAACAUGUCUCCAUACUAGAAUUGAGUGAAAUUGUGCAUCAUAAACAUAUUAAUACCAUGCUUGGACUCGUUGAACAAAAGUGUCAUAAAGGGGCACUUAAAAUUAGUAAACUGUGAAACUGCAACAUAGAGACAAAUUGAUAGGCCAUUAUACAUCUGCUAUAUUCCAUGUUAGAGACAUGAUGACAUAGAGAUAGGCCAUUGAGACACUUGAUAUAUUUCAUAUUUUUAGACAUGAGGACUUGGUACUUGAGACAGAUCAUUGCUUACUUGCCAUUGUGCUCAUUCGCACAUGCUUGUGAGGGUCGCUCCCUACAAGCCGGCACUCCGGAGAUAGCCAUCGCGACAUAUGCUCGCCCGUGCGGGAUUGGACGCCGAAGUGGAUUGCCGUGGGGGAGGCUCAUCCCUAGAGUGGGGAUGUUGACUACCACGGGGCCAUUAGGCACGGCGCAGGCCAGACAACCUUCGGGUGGGUCUUGUGAUUGAGACUUAGUGACAGAACAUGCUAUGUGAACUUUAAAACUAUUAAAGUGGACUUGGACUAGAAUAGUAAACAAUGACAUCUUUACUAUUUUUGCAUUGAGGACAUCGGAUUGGUUGCAUUUCUAUGCUUAUCCAUGUCAUACACAUCCAUGCACAUUCAUGUUAUCGUUGCUUUAUUACUUAUGCAAAUGAAGCUAAGUAGAGACUUUAUGUUAUAGUAAUUUACAUUUUUAUUUACCUUUCGCCUUACUAUAUUGUUAGUCACUGACCUCUUUUUGUAGCUUUUGGGCUUUGUGGCGCAGUUCACUGAAGUCAGUAAUUGCCCACUGGGAACGAUUUUUAAUAGUUCUCACGCCCUCUUAUUCGUUUCUUUCAGAGCCUUCUGCACCGGCGGAGGCACGGGAUCGCGGCAAGGGGAUCGCAUAGCUAGCUAGCGAGGAGCGAUUCUUUGCCUAGGUGGUCUACUCUUUCUUUUUGUAGUUGAGAGAGAGUGAGAGAUUUUGUAUCCAUGUAUAGAGACCACCUGUGUAUCUACUUAUAACACUUGUGUUUGGAAUUUUCUUUGUAUUACUUUAUGCUCUUAUUAGUGGAUUCCAGCUUUAUAUUUCUUUC